rfam:Schistosoma mattheei strain Denwood, Zambia genome assembly, scaffold: SMTD_contig0000304
AUCCAGCUGACAUGUCCCAAACAGGAUGAAACGGGCGUCCUGUAU